CGGGCUGUGUUGGGCUUCUUAGAAGAACGAAAAGCUCAGUGCUGCACCAGGACUCGAACCGAGGACCUCAUGAUCCAAUGCCUCAUUGGCUAAAACACAAUCACACACUACUACAAUUAGAACUUUCGUGGAUUAUUCCUAAAACUCACAUCAUCAGAGAAUGCCCGAUUACUUUCGAACUCAUACGAGGCCCUUAAUCAUGAGCUAAUUCUUGCAACGCGUGAGCCAAACUGCGAAAAGCGCGUGCGACCGCAUGCAGCGCGCGUUGUGAAUGGGGCGGAAGGGUGGGGAGAGAAGGUUCCGUUAAACUCUUCGACUGGUCCUGGUCUUCAUCUGGAUUGUGUUUUGAUAACUUGAGAAAAAUAUACCAAGAAGUCUCCAGACACGCAUAUCUUCGUGGCAGCCCUACUCUAUACAUCCUCAUUUGAUCUUUUAACGAUGAUCGGCACCACACUCGCCAGGAUGGUGGUCCGUCGCCCGAGACUGUCCGAUAUGAACCGUGUGGCCAAACUGCCGACCACGAACCCUAGCGGAGACAUGGCCAUCACUGUUGCGAGCUCAUCCUUAAAUC